GUGAGCCAGAAGCAGGUCAUAGUGAACUACAGACUCUCCCACUGAGAGAAAGGACAAGAGAGUCAGAUUCCUGAUGUUCUUAUGGAAGGGGACUCUCCUUCCAAACAAUAACCGUCUUCAAUUUUAUCCUCCCCUUCCUGGGAGCCAAAGAUGUCAACUUGAAUGGCUCUUCCUCCAUUUCCCAUCCUUUGAGCCAGAGAUGUGAAGCCUUUUUUGGAUCACAAAGCCUGUCGACAAGUUGGCAAAGUCCAAGG